UUCCAAUAAACAAAGAAUCAGCAUCACUUAGACCAGUUGAAAACGCAGAACUAGAAUACUGUUGAUCAAGAAUACUAGAUGUUUCAGAUACACACGCCUCAUUAAUCCUAGAGGUUAACCUCGGCUGCCAAAAUAAAAAGCUUACCUCAAACAUCAAUCUAUCUUAAAUAAUGAUUUUACAAGGAUUUUUAAAAGGGGUUUAAAAACGUUAAUAAUGAUUUUACAAGAUUUUUUAAAAGGAUUAUUACCUGAGUAGUAGAUGCAGAAUGAGAAACAAAAGGAUUUGAAGUCGUCUCAGCCUGUAAUAAACUCAAUCACUGACUUAAUAAUGAUUUUACAAGGAUUUUUAAAAGGGGUUUAAAAACGUUAAUAAUGAUUUUACAAGGAUUUUUAAAGGGGUUUAAAAACGUUAAUAAUGAUUUUACAAGGAUUUUUAAAACGAUUAGUACCUGAGCAUUAGGGACAGAAUGAGAAACAAAAGGAUUUGAACUAGUCUCAGCCUGUAAUAAGCACAAUCACUGACUUAAUAAUGAUUUUACAAGGAUUUUUUAAAUUAUAACACAAGAAGGUUAUUGAAAAACCUGCUCAACUGUCACAGAAAUUUGCUCUAUAGUCAAACAUAACUGAAGCAAUCCUCCACUCUGUGAGAAUUUGUGCAUAAAAGUUGCAAGCUGUCUAUCGUUCCUAAUAUAAAGAGGAUGAGAUUGUAUGGUUGUAGACGUGGAGACUAACUUGUAACUAAGCUUCAAAGAAUUGGUUGAACUAUCUAUUUGAAAAUCCUCUACAAGAAUAUCAACCAACGCGUGAUAGGUAAUGUGCUCAUCAAUGAGCACUAAAGAAGCUCCCAAUUCAAUGUCUAAUUCAAAUUCCCAAGUCAUAUUGUUUGUCAACUUCCACAAGCCACAAACAGAAUACAAUUCUAGCAUUAUAACCUGAUAAGAUAAAUAACAACAAAAUCAACACCCACAAAAACACUGUCACUACAGAGAGAAGCAAGGUUUACAAAUCGUUUUAAAGCGUAAGUAAGUAGCAUAGAAUAAUUUACAAGGGAUUUUAAAAGCUUUGAAAAGUGGUUU
rnacentral:sRNA from 1 species